GUUGAGUUGGAGGAGAGGAAGUUGGGGGACUGGGCAGGUUCCAGGAAAGGCGUGAGCCACGAGAUGGAACGAAGCAAGACUUCUAAGACAGGGCAGACUUGAUGGCCAACCUGCACCCGUUCAGGGGUGCUGUGAUCUACAGCAACAAUGUCAGCCCUGAGGAUGGGCGGUCUCCAGGAGUCCUUGGCAGCAGCCUACUGUGGCCCCCAGCUUUCAUUGAUAUUCCACACCCAGUU
rnacentral:lncRNA from 1 species